GAGUUUGAUCGUGGCUCAGAUUGAACGCUGGCGGAAUGCUUUACACAUGCAAGUCGAGCGGCAGCGCGGGGCAACCUGGCGGCGAGCGGCGAACGGGUGAGUAAUGCAUCGGAACAUGUCCAUGUCGUGGGGGAUAGCCCGGCGAAAGCCGGAUUAAUACCGCAUACGCCCGAGAGGGGAAAGUGGGGGACCGCAAGGCCUCACGCGAUUGGGUUGGCCGAUGUCCGAUUAGCUAGUUGGCGGGGUAAUGGCCCACCAAGGCGAUGAUCGGUAGCUGGUCUGAGAGGAUGAUCAGCCACACUGGGACUGAGACACGGCCCAGACUCCUACGGGAGGCAGCAGUGGGGAAUUUUGGACAAUGGGGGCAACCCUGAUCCAGCCAUUCCGCGUGAGUGAAGAAGGCCUCGGUUGUAAG
rnacentral:rRNA from 1 species